UAGGGAAUCUUCCGCAAUGGGCGAAAGCCUGACGGAGCAACGCCGCGUGAGUGAUGAAGGUCUUCGGAUCGUAAAACUCUGUUAUUAGGGAAGAACAAAUGUGUAAGUAACUAUGCACGUCUUGACGGUACCUAAUCAGAAAGCCACGGCUAACUACGUGCCAGCAGCCGCGGUAAUACGUAGGUGGCAAGCGUUAUCCGGAAUUAUUGGGCGUAAAGCGCGCGUAGGCGGUUUUUUAAUUCUGAUGUGAAAGCCCACGGCUCAACCGUGGAGGGUCAUUGGAAACUGGGAUACUUGAGUGCGGAGGAGGAAAGUGGAAUUCCAUGUGUAGCGGUGAAAUGCGCAGAGAUAUGGAGAAACACCAGUAGCGAAGGCGACUUUCUGAUCUGUAACUGACGCUGAUAUGCGAAAGCGUCGGGAUCAAACAGG
rnacentral:rRNA from 1 species